GAUGAACGCUGGCGGCGUGCCUAAUACAUGCAAGUCGAACGAAGCCUUCGGGCUUAGUGGCGGACGGGUGAGUAACACGUUGGUACCUGCCUCGAAGUGGGGAAUAACUGGCCGAAAGGUCGGCUAAUACCGCAUGUGAUCGCAAUAUCAAAGUCGUAAGACGCUUCGAGAGUGGCCUGCGUCCCAUUAGCUAGUUGGUAGUGUAAUGGCCUACCAAUGCGACGAUGGGUAGCUGGAUCGAGAGGUUGACCAGCCACACUGGGACUGAGAUACGGCCCAGACUCCUACGGGAGGCAGCAGUAAGGAAUCUUCCACAAUGGACGAAAGUCUGAUGGAGCAACGCCGCGUGCAGGAUGACGGCCUUCGGGUUGUAAACUGCUUUUAUAUGGGAAGAUUAUGACGGUACCAUAUGAAUAAGGACCGGCUAACUACGUGCCAGCCGCCGCAGUAA
rnacentral:rRNA from 1 species